GCGCUCACUUCAGCAGCACCCAUGGAACUAAAAUCGGAACAAUACCGAGAAGAUUAGCAUGGCCUCUGUCCAAGGAUGAGAAGAAAAUUCAAGAAGUGUUCCAUGAUACU
ensembl:snRNA U6 U6 spliceosomal RNA